AACUAAAAUCUGCAGAUUCUCCCUACGAAUCCCAGCUGGUAAAUUUUAAUUAUUUUUUUUUUGCAAAGUUUCUUUUCAUUCAUGAUUUCUCAUUUCUGCCAAAAUAACAUAUGCAUACACUGUCAUACAUAUAUACAAAGCAUGACUGUUGUUAAAAGAAAAUAAGAGUAGAAGGAUGAUUUGAAGCAUGCUGAUAAAAAUGGAGUCUUGAGUCUUGAGUCAUGUUGGCUUUUGUGGAAGUAAUUGCUGUUUCUGGUAUGAGUCGAGUCGGGGAUGGAGGCUGACUGAGGAGGGUGAGAGAGAAUCGAGGAAGGCGGCGGCGGCUCAUCGCUGCUGUCCGUCCGGCGGUGGUGGUCUACCACUGACCGAGGAGAGAGAGAGAUUACGAGGGAGGUCAGCGGCGACGGUUAGCUUUGUCAGCUGAUGUUGUCGUCGGCGGGAGUCAGACGGAGGGAGGCCAGAGGGCGGCGGCCCUGCUGUUGGCGCUCGGCCACGGACGGAGAGAGAGGAGAGCAGUGGGUGACGGUGGCUUAUCGCCGCUGCUUCCCGGCGAGCUUCCGCAGCGGCGGAGCUUUGUGAGAGAGAGAGGAAGGUUGAGGGGAGAGAGGGCGGCUCGACGGCGAUGUCGCCGGAGUUGAGGGCGAUGUCGCGCUGCUGCGUGGCUGCGUUGCGCAUGUCGUGAGCUUUGAGAGAGAGGGAGAGUUCUGCGUUGUGUGGGGGUGUCAGGCGGAGGAGGAAGAGACGAGGCUGGAGAGGCGACGGCGGUGUCGCCGGCGCCAGCGUGCUGUGUGUGUGUGUGUGUUUUGGGAGAACAGAGAGAGA
rnacentral:lncRNA from 1 species